CAGAGCAGUUUCCAAGUGAUCUUCUCCACAGCACCCAUGAACUUCAGCCUUGGACUGAAGAGGACUCCUGAAAUGCCUUAGGAGACACAGCAUGGAAUUGGAAGAAAAGCAAGGAUAUCCACGAAGGGCAGUCAACUUGCAGUUUUGGUCUGUGGAGGAACAGGUCCUGUUCUCACUGUUGUUACUCCCACAUAGGCGGACUCUGUAAUUGAUUAUGUGUGGGUAGGGCCCUAUUCAAAUUAAGGAGAUUCCGCAAUAGUGCAGGGUUCUUUUUGUGAAAGUUCAGUUGCAAGAUCAGGACCCUACUGUGACUCCUUACUGUGAAUUCUGUCAGUGUAUCAUUGAUUGUGCUGGAACCUGCCUUUUGGGAUAAUGUAAGUCCUGCUUUUCCCCCAAAUGUACUUUAGACAUGAAAUAACCAUAAAACAUUUCAAAUUAGAAAAUUAGUAUCAUUUACAUGCAUUCUUUUAAUUAUGUUUUUUUGGCAGUACCAUAUAAUAUAUUCCUCAAAACUUCUUAAUGGCACUGAGGCUUUGUGGAUAGUUGGUCACAUGAUGAGAAAAUUCAGCUGUAAGUACAUUGAAAUGAUUGAAUUUUUCAAUAGUUAGUCUUUACUGAUGUUGACAAACUUAAUAAUGAUAAAACGGUGAAUGAAGAGGUUUGACUUACGUCAAUUGACUUCAGUUUUUUUAGAAAAU